GGGCGAUUAGCUCAGUUGGGAGAGCGCUGCAGUCACAUUGCAGAGGUCACUGGUUCAAGCCCAGUAUCGCCCACCA
rnacentral:tRNA from 4 species